UCUGGACUUGUCUUUGUGGAUUGCCCAAUGAACAGAGACAGUUAUAUGUGUAGCAGCGUAUGAACGUAAUAUAGAAGAAGAGCGUUGCUGUGAAUAAGAACGUUGAGAAGAAAUCAGUAACAUAAAACUAAUUAAAAACGGCUAGGGCUAAAUAGUAUAAAAAGAAUUUAGGGAUUUUCCUGAUUGGCACCCCCCCUGCGCGGGCGUAUCGCGCGC
rnacentral:lncRNA from 1 species